UAAAUACAUUUUAAUUUUGGGAGUCUAUUAUUUUUAAACUCAUAAUCCAAUAGGGAUUAGACUCCUAAACCGUUUUUUUGGAUUUUGGCAUUAACUAGUCUCCAUUGUGGGAGCUCAGUGAUAGAAUUUAAUAUGAAAUCAGGAUUGUCGCUGAACAUACUUUUUUUCUUUUUAAAACAUUUUUAAACUUUUAAGAAUGUAAAUCUCUUCAAAUAGAGGCUUUUUCUGGCUGUCUAGAUUUCCCAAACAGUUUUCUCCUCUCAGAGUAUUUUUCCUUUGAUCUUCUAUUUCUCCUUUUUUGAAAAAUCCAUAUUGUAUGAGAACUUACAAUUUCUUGAGCCAAAUACCUCUUUAAGAACCUGAUUAAAGCUGUGGUUCACUUCCUAAAUGCACAUGCACACAAAAUACUAUAUACAGUUUCUAGAGAAUUCAUGGACCUCCACAAGAAAUUCCAGUGUAGCAGAAGGAAAAAUAAAUAUGUUGUAAAUAGAAAUUUUCUAAUAAACAACUUCUUGCAAGUGAAAAUUUUGCUCUUAAGGUGAGGACAUAUUUAUAUACAUGGAUAAUUUUAAAAUAUUUUUAGUAAUUACUUAUGUAUGUAAGCUUUAAUAAUAUUAGGGUGCAAUAACAAAUAAUAUAGGGUUCCAGUAAUCAAUGAUCUCAAGAUAGGAAGAGACAAAUUAUAUUGCAAUGGAAUAGUUUCUAUAAUAUAGUUAAAUACAGUGGCAGUCAUGUAAUAUAGUAUGAAGCAAUUAGGCUUUUCAAGUGUAUUGAUGCAGUUACAUACACAUUGUAUAUAUACAGUGAUGCUCUUCCUAUUAUACAGUGAUAGCAUAUGUUGCAGAUACUGCUGGUGCUAACAUCCUUUCUACCCUCCCUUUUUACUCUGUAUGAACAAGUGUAGGACAGAUAAUCAGCGAGAGACUGGGUCCUGGAACAGCUGAACUAAUGUUAACAAUCAACCAUCUUUGAAAUUCUUAUUUUGUGAGAACAUAUUUUAAAGUUUUAAAUUCGUACUGAAUUUUCUCUUUCUUGCAAAGAAAAGCAUUUCUAAUUGAUUCAAGUUCUCAUUUCAAUCCUGGGAAUCAUAAUUUAAGAAUAAUAUAAAUAGAUUGUCUCUAUUAGGGGAAAGAAAUGAGAAAGAUGAAGGAACUUAAAACUAAAUCCUAUAUUAUAGGAUAAAAAGGUUGGAAAGGGCCUUUAGAAUGAUAUAGUAUAUGCUUUCAAAUAGUUGAUGGACUACCAUGGGGAAGAAAAGUUAUAAUUAUUUUAUAUAACAGAAGAGUAGAAUUAAAAUCAGUGAGUUGGAAAAAAAAUAAAACAAAAUCAAUGAGUUGGUCAAAAUAGUAACCAAUGUAGAAAAACUUUCUACCAUUCACUUUUCUCCCAAUACAGGUGCUUCAGAAAUACUGUAACUGUGGAGAUUAAUUUUUACCACUCCCUUCUCUAGUGAAAAGUUUUCUUAAAGUGUUGAUCUAUGCUUUGUGUGCAUAUACAUUACUUUUAAAUAUAUUUAAUUAAUACUUGUCUUAUUCCUUUCCAUGCUGUAGACUGCUAUAGACACCAUGCAUUGAGUACGCAAUGCUGGCCAAUUAUGAAAGCUAUUUUACUUUUCCCCUAGUACAAUCCAGUUCUCAUUCCAGAGAAACUGAGUGCCCCUAGGAGAUAGCUGGCAUGUUUGGGGCUAUUUUUUAUUGUCACAACACAGGGCCGGGGGUGGGGCAUGUAGUGGGUAGAAUCAAAGGAUGCUGCAUUGCAGAGGACAGUCACUACCACAAAGAAUUAUCCCCAUCCUAAAUGCCAGCAGUGGUGAGGUUGAAGAACCCUGUGGUAGUAGACCACGCCUAUCGUGCUCUGCCCGUGUAAUGCGCAAUCUCAGGGGACGGCUUCUUACCUUCCAAUUAGCUGUGAGGCAACAUGCCUGGGACUCUUUUCUCCUUGCUGCUGUGGCAGUUGGAGCAGCAGGCACAAGGGGCCAGGGCUUCAUUCUUGGAACAUUGGCACUUGGCGUGUGUUUCCUCACACAAGAACCAAAUAACCUCAGAGAGGUUAUGAGCUCUGGGCAUUGUUGGGACAAUUGAUGGAUUAUGCAGGUGAGCAUGGCAUAGACUGAUGACAGGCAAUUACUAUAAAUCACCGUUAGUCUUCCAGCCACGUGCAACUGAUUGCAAGAAAUGGACGGAAACCAGUCCUGGCCCAUCCACUUUAGAAAAUUAGUAUUGCGCCCAAAGCCAGGUUUGCACAUUUUCUGAAUGAGCUCAGUGGAAUGUUUUCCAUAUAGCCAAAUGAAGAAAUGGAGAAGAAUGAAAGUUUUGUUCCUUCAAGCGCAUUUUUAAGCAACAUUUUAUUUUAGGUGCAAAUAGCACUUAUUUUUAAAUAGCAAGCACUGUUAGUGAGCAUAUUUUAGUUUCUAGAGAAUUCUAGAAAUACAAGAACUCUAAAUAAUACAAAAAUACAGCCAUACAAUAAACAAUUCCAGUCCAACUUUUCCAUGAGUCACUAGCUAUAGGUAUUGGGCUUUUGUUUCCCUUUCAAAUAUUUUUGUUUAAGAAUAAGAGUUAAAUAAGGGCUGUAUAGAGCCAAAUUAUACAUUCUUAGACUUGGCCAUUUAGAACACCCCUAAUUCUAUUCUAAUUGACAAAAGAGAAAAAAGUGGGGGUUUUCUUUUCUUUAUUUCCAACCACAAUAUUCUAAUGUAGUAAGAAAAUUGCCAAUAAUCAAUAGAUGGAAAUUUGGUCAAAACCAAAAAGGAAACACAAUACACAGUAUCUUAGAAAUUAAGUAGGAGAGAGAGAGAGAGAGAGAGAGAGAGAGAGAGAGAGAGAGAGAGAGAGAGAGAGAGGAGAGGAGAGAGAGAGAGAGGAGAGAGAGAGUCACAAGUGUCAUGGUUAAGGUCAGGUAAGAUCAGGGGAGGACACACAACAAAAUUUGCUUACAUUUUUAUGAGGUUAUUAUUCAUUUUAGAUACAUACAGUGUACUUGCCGCUGGAUUCCAUCAUGCCAAACCAGAAGGGUUCCUGAGGUUCUCGUUUAUUGCUGCUGUCUACAGCCAUUACCUUCCACCUCCUCCCAGACUCAACACCACAGCUUUCAAGUCAAAGCCAAAAACGCUACAUCUCCAGAAGCGAGUGUACAAUUUGAAAAAUGAUUGCUCUUUGAUGUGCUUUGUUUUUCUCUCACAGAAAUGCUUUUCCAUCCUAAGAGUCAAUCCCGGCUUCAUUCAAAACCCUGUUACACAGUGAAUGGUAUCGCUCCUGAGCCACCCAACCUGAGGCCGAUCGCUGAGAAUGUGUCACCUUUGUUCUGAUGCACUGUGCACGUGACAUGGAUGGGGAGUGAAUAGUGGCUUUUGUCAUUUCAAAGCUAAAUUCUGGAGGCAGCAUGUUUCCCUCGAUGUUUAACUAAACCUUCUUGGCGAAGUUUACCAGGUCAGAGCUACCAACUUCCCAAACACUGUUGCAUUUAGAAACUCGGUGGAUUCUCAUUUGUGGGGACUCCAGACUUUAAAGGGUGUUUACAGCUCUCCUCCUCACCCUGGAGGACCAGACUCUGGAAUCCAGCUGAUGAUGGGAACUUAUAACAUUCAAAUUCCUACCAACUUUUCCAGCCACAGGUCUGACUAUUGUAGCAAAUCAUGCACACUUACGAUUCUGCCACAAAAGCUGUCUCCUUUCCUGAAUUCCUGAAUUUUCUCUGUAUGCCCAAGUCUCUGUGCCUUUGUCACUUCAUUCCUUCAGUUUGUCUUUCCAUCAUCUCUCCUAAAAAACUCUACACAGUUAAAAGUCACAUUUUUCAUGAAGACUGCCUAACUCUACCUCAUAGGGGUGUGUGCAUGCACACACACACACACACACACACACACACACACACACUCCCUGUCAAAAACCUUGUCUUCUAAAUACCCAUAUUAUGGGUACUUGUAUUAUUAUACUCUUCUAUUUUUCCUUGUCUUAAAAUUAAUUGCAUGUGUCUGCUUCUUCCCCUACCCCACAGACUUCACCAUCCCACAUUAGAUUAUAAAUCUUUUCAAGUCCAAGACUAUAUUUCCAACAUCCUUGUAUUUGCAAUCACCCCAUGUUUAUUGUAUGAAUGGUUGAUAAACAUGCAUUUGAAUAUUAACCCAGUCACACACUAUAAGUAUUAAUUUGCACUAAGCAAAUCUAAAUUUUAAAACGCAGCCUAUUUUUAUUUGAUUAUUGAUAUUUUGCUCAUCAUAGAUAUUUUGUACUAAUUUUGAUUUUUUUAAAAGUGACACAAGAUUUUUUUUUAAAAUUACUGAGUCUUUUGGCACCUCCCCUCCUUAAAGCUGGUGCUACGUGCAAGUUCUUCACUCACCUCAUUGCGAAUCUGAUGCUGGAAUAUCCAUGACAUUUAAAGUAACUGCUAAAAUAAAACUUACAAGUCAGUGGCCAACUGUGGCUGCUCGGAGGAGCUGUGUCAUUGGGACAGCCCAAGGCAGAGUGUUUUCUGAUGCCUCCACAUUUGUGAGUAUGGAGUUCAAAACCAAACCCAAGUCUUGUAAUACAAAUUCCAUGAAUGAUAUCAAUGCACUGCAAAGAACGUAUUGGCUGGAACAGACGUCCUCUGCUACUCAUAUCUUAAUAAAGUGGUUUGAAUUCCAGAAAGAUGUUUCCAUGACUGCAAACUGUCUGAGCCAUCAAAAACACAACUUACCUACUUAAAUAAGAAUGACACUCUGAUCUGAAAAAGUGGAGAAAAAGAAAAACUUCACCGUUCUAUGGCAUGGGUAUAUCUAAGGAAUUGUGGAAUAGAGUGCUACCUUAUUAAGGAUUUUUUGGAAAUGGAAUUUGGAACCAAUAUAUGUGGUUUUUCUAACUGAUAUCAGGGAGGAUAUAGCAUCCAAGAGGUAAGAGGUCUCCAACUCAUUAUACUCAGGAGUAGUCAAUUCCACAGCUUUGUACUGAACAAGGUUUUCAAGCCAAAAGAUAAGGAAAACUAAAAGAAGACCAGAGAAAUAAAACAAAUAUGGCCAAAUGAUUAGAGAACACUAUCUCUAAGACUUGGAAUUAUUUGCUCUAAAGAAAAAAAGCUACAAUCAAUCUUCAAUUCUAAGCUUGGCUACUACCCAGAAGAUGCAAUCACUGGACCUACUGAAUGUAAAACAGAUGGAAUUAAUUGCAACAGUGGAAAGAUGAAUGUGAAAUAAAGAAAUGAAGUCUUCCUGAUUAUGGGAGCUACUUAGCUGUUGAAAGUGCAACAGUGUUUUUAUUUUUAGCAAAUAAGAAAAAUAUUGUGCAUGUUUAUCAUGUCUUUGAUUGUCUUUAUAUUAUCUCCACAUAUGCUAGCAUCCUUUAAUAUAUGUCCACUUCUAGAUAUUUCUAACUUCAUAUAAAUAGAAUGAUACUGCAUAUGUUCUUCAAUCUACUUUUUGUUUUCAUAAAAUUAUAUAUUUAAUCUA